UCCCGCAACGAGCGCAACCCUUAUCCUUUGUUGCCAGCGAUUAGGUCGGGAACUCAAAGGAGACUGCCAGUGAUAAACUGGAGGAAGGUGGGGAUGACGUCAAGUCAUCAUGGCCCUUACGACCAGGGCUACACACGUGCUACAAUGGCGCAUACAAAGAGAAGCGACCUCGCGAGAGCAAGCGGACCUCAUAAAGUGCGUCGUAGUCCGGAUUGGAGUCUGCAACUCGACUCCAUGAAGUCGGAAUCGCUAGUAAUCGUGGAUCAGAAUGCCACGGUGAAUACGUUCCCGGGCCUUGUACACACCGCCCGUCACACCAUGGGAGUGGGUUGCAAAAGAAGUAGGUAGCUUAACCUUCGGGAGGGCGCUUACCACUUUGUGAUUCAUGACUGGGGUGAAGUCGUAACAAGGUAACCGUAGGGGAACCUGCGGUUGGAUCACCUCCUUACCUUAAAGA
rnacentral:rRNA from 1 species